rnacentral:rRNA from 1 species
UGGGGAAUAUUGGGCAAUGGGCGCAAGCCUGACCCAGCAACGCCGCGUGAAGGAAGAAGGUCUUCGGAUUGUAAACUUCUGUCAUUGGGGACGAAGGAAGUGACGGUACCCAAUGAGGAAGCCCCGGCUAACUACGUGCCAGCAGCCGCGGUAAUACGUAGGGGGCGAGCGUUGUCCGGAAUUACUGGGCGUAAAGGGUGCGUAGGCGGCGAUGCAAGUCCAUUGUGAAAAGCCCGGGCUUAACCUGGGAGGUGCAGUGGAAACUGCAAGGCUUGAGUGCAGGAGAGGAAGGUGGAAUUCCUAGUGUAGCGGUGAAAUGCGUAGAUAUUAGGAGGAACACCAGUGGCGAAGGCGGCUUUCUGGACUGUAACUGACGCUGAGGCACGAAAGCGUGGGGAGCAAACAG